GACGAACGCUGGCGGCGUGCUUUACACAUGCAAGUCGAACGGAAAGGCCCUGCUUUUGUGGGGUGCUCGAGUGGCGAACGGGUGUGUAACACGUGAGUAACCUGCCCUUGACUUUGGGAUAACUUCAGGAAACUGGGGCUAAUACCGGAUAGGAGCUCCUGCUGCAUGGUGGGGGUUGGAAAGUUUCGGCGGUUGGGGAUGGACUCGCGGCUUAUCAGCUUGUUGGUGGGGUAGUGGCUUACCAAGGCUUUGACGGGUAGCCGGCCUGAGAGGGUGACCGGCCACAUUGGGACUGAGAUACGGCCCAGACUCCUACGGGAGGCAGCAGUGGGGAAUAUUGCACAAUGGGCGGAAGCCUGAUGCAGCAACACCGCGUGCGGGAUGACGGCCUUCGGGUUGUAAACCGCUUUCGCCUGUGACGAAGCGUGAGUGACGGUAAUGGGUAAAGAAGCACCGGCUAACUACGUG
rnacentral:rRNA from 1 species